UUUAACUUUUAACUUUUAACUUGGUAAAUGAACUUCGACUGCGGCUGCAGCAGGACUAAAAGCUUAAUGUCUCUUAAGAUAACACAGUCGAAACAGAGAUCAAGUUCAAAGGGAGUCAAAGAAGUUUAAAUUUUUCUGGGCAGUUGAAGAGGUCACUGUUCUGAAAACCUUCCCAAUUUGAAGCUUUAAUCCAGUACUUGAUUUUCUGGGAAUAAAGCUGCAAUGUUAAUCUGAGAGAUGAAGCAACAGCAGUGGUUCCAUGCGCUCUACUCAACCCUCUUAAACCCACUGAUGAUGCACCUUUUUCUUGUACAUACAAGUGGAGGAGAUGGAAUUGCCAUAUAUGGAAGAAAAGGCGGAAACUCCCUUCUCCCCUUGAAGAACUCCUGAAUCCAGUCAGCUGUGAGGUAUCACCUCCUUUGAAAUGGCACAAAAUGGCUACCUGAGGGGGGAUAUCAGACUUAUAUAUAAAUCUUUUCAAGUCAAAGAUUUUUUAAACAAUUGGUUGAGAAUGAGACCCCCACCCAGAAGGAUUAAAGCAAAUAAACUAUUUGGCAAAAUUAAUUGGGGGGGGGAGACAAUGCUCUAUCAAAUAUAUUAAGUUAUAAUACAUAUGAGAGAGUUUAUUAGGCAGGUAGAUAAUACUAUAAAAUGUGAAGUGAUGAUUGGGGUGUCCAUUUCAAAUGAUUAAUGGUAAUAAAAUUUUCUCCUUAUUUUGGGGAACCACAUCUUUCAGAUAAGUUAAUACAAAUAUAUGUUUUUGUAUCUAGCUAAACCAGGUAUUUCAAAAUCUUUCUUAUAUUACAUACAACUUCCUGCCAGUAGUUUUUGCCUCAGAAGAAUUCCUCCAGUUAGUGAUGCUGUAUACUUAAAUUGCCACUGAUAUAUUUUAUAUAAUAUUAGUAGCAAGAAUACUAUGCACAGGAUAUGGGAUCUUGCAGUCUUAAGCAAAACCACAUGGCUCUUAGGGUUUGACAAGGGAGGCAAAAGAAGAAUAGAUCUGAACAAAAAUGGGCAUUGUUCAAAUAGCUAAUUAGUUAUAACCACUUUUAUGCCUUAUAAGAACAUAUGAUGAUAGUCUUCCCCAAAUUAAAUGAAUACAUUUUAAAUGACCGUGAAUUAUUUUCAAACGGAAAUAAGCUUUUGUCCUUGACCUUAAUAGCUUUUAUAUUUAUUUUCUGCCUACUAAUUAUAAUAAUUUUA